rnacentral:misc_RNA from 1 species
GCAAACUUGGUCAUUUAGAGGAAGUAAAAGUCGUAACAAGGUUUCCGUAGGUGAACCUGCGGAAGGAUCAUUACCGAAUGACCUGCAUCUCGCCUUGCGCGUGCAUGCUCGUUGGCGCCUCUUGAUCUUGAUCUUGGUGCUCAUCCCUCCUGGGGUUUGGGUGCCUUUCAAGAUGUUCCUAUGCCACACACAAACUUGUCAUCGUAUGGUGUUGAACAUUUAACAUGUAAUACAACUUUCAACAACGGAUCUCUUGGCUCUCGCAUCGAUGAAGAACGCAGC